UCAACCCUCAAGCCCGGCUUGUUGUUGGACUCGGUGAGGUCAUCCUCACCAGCCUCAAAGAUAAUGACGGUGUCUAGAGGACCCUCGGUACAAUGAGCUUUCUAAAGCACGUAUUGAAGUGGGCUUCGAGGCCCGGUCUCUUUUAACUAUUUACAA
rnacentral:misc_RNA from 1 species